rnacentral:ncRNA from 1 species
ACUGGCCUGCCACAGGGCUGUGUUGAGCCCCUUUCUCUCUAUCAUCAAUCAAAACUGCAAACCCAUUGAUCCUUCGAUGUCGGCUCUUCCUAUCAUUGUGAAGCAGAAUUCACCAAGCGUUGGAUUGUUCACCCACUAAUAGGGAACGUGAGCUGGGAUUAGACCGUCAUGAGACCGGUU